GCCGGUGAUUACAGCAAUGAGGCUACACCUGUUCCCAUCCCGAACACAGCAGUUAAGCUCAUUUGCGCCGACGAUACUUGGCGGGCAGCCGCCCGGGAAAAUAGGUCGUCGCCGGCU
rnacentral:rRNA from 1 species